UACGGCCGACAACUUGCGGUCGACCCGUAGUGUUUCAACCGUUGGGAGCUCCCAAUCUAAGGAGUUCGUGGCCUUGCAGCAACACACGGCUCAGCUCACCGACAAAUACGACCACCUAUCAGCGGAGUACGCACAACUCAAAGCGUCUCAUGCACAACAAAGAGCGGAGUCUGAGCAAAUCAAAGCGUCUCAAGCACAACAAAAAGCGGAG
rnacentral:lncRNA from 1 species